UGGUGGAGUGAUUUGUCUGGUUAAUUCCGUUAACGAACGAGACCUCGACCUGCUAAAUAGUUCGCCGAACCUUUUGGUUCGAGUGUGACUUCUUAGAGGGACUAUCGGUGUGUAGCCGGUGGAAGUUCGAGGCAAUAACA
rnacentral:rRNA from 1 species